GGACUACUGGGGUAUCUAAUCCCGUUUGCUCCCCUGGCUUUCGCGCCUCAGCGUCAGCAGAGGUCCAGCGGAUCGCUUUCGCCACCGGCGUUCCUUCCGAUAUCAACGCAUUUCACCGCUCCACCGGAAGUUCCAUCCGCCCCUACCUCCCUCGAGCCGUUCAGUAUCCGGGGCACUUCCCCAGUUGAGCUGGGGGCUUUCACCCCGGACUUGAGCGGCCGCCUACGCGCCCUUUAAGCCCAGUGAUUCCGAACAACGUUCGCACGGUUCGUCUUACCGCGGCUGCUGGCAC
rnacentral:rRNA from 1 species